ACACACAGGAAAGACAAAAAACAGAGCAAGGGGUGAGAAGAAAAAGAUCAUAAAACCUUUAUUCUCUGGAGGAAGAUGAGUAAGAAAAAGGUGUGAGAGUGAAAUGAUCGUCUGUGAGUGGAUCUGUGUCUCCUCCAGUCACAGGACGAUGAUUAUCCUCCUCCUACACCUGCUGCGGCUGUCAGAAUCAGGAGAUCAAACACCCGCCUAAACAAAGCCAUAUGUCACAGCUAACAUGUGGAAAACAGAGGACAUGAAAGCUUGACUCCUGUGAUGCAGCGUAGAGAAAUGUUUCUCAUUUGUUCUGAACGAGGAUGGAGGGGAGGCUGUCAGCUACGUUGUGAUUUUACAUUGUUCUCCCUUAGCAGUUUCCUCAAGCAUCUGCUCUAAAAACACUGAGCUGCUUCAUGAAACGGUGCAAACGCGUUGUAAAAGAAACACGUUAUACGCAUUUAUUUGGAGGAGAAAUUAUUUAUUUUGAGCUACCUAUUAGGUUUCCUUGAAUGGGUUAGGACAGAUAGAUCUAUUGCAACUUGAAGCCUCGUCAUUUCCAGCAUCCAUUGUACGGAGCACACAGCUGACCAAACGUGCUGGAGUUCCGUUUGGGUUGCUAGGUAACUCCAGACUCAGUUGGGGUUGCUAGAUAACGGCACAAUUACAAUGAAGAGGAUUUUGAAAUGUUUUGUUUUCCAGACACUAAAAAACAUUAACUUAUUGCCAGAAACAAGCUGAGUGUUUCUGCUUGUAAAAAUGGCGCUUACUGUUUUUAGAAGCAGUUGAGACCUGAAAGAACGUACAAAAAAUACGCAAAAAGUGAAUUUUGUAUAAUGGGUCCUCUUUAAAGUUCAACAACUUCAACACCAGAUCAUUAACUUUGACUAAUCUGAUUUUCCAGUUGAUUCGAUGGAUUUCCUUCAUCACAGUUUGUCUAUUUAACAGCCGUUUCCUCUCUGUCUGUCUCUCUUCCUUUCAGGCCUGAUUUUAUGUGACAGAAUAUGAGUGUCAGUAUAUCAACCAUUUCCUUUGUUCUCGCUGCUGCAGGCUAUCAAGUCCUGGUUCUGUGGCUGACUGCUUCAGCCAGCUGCACAGGAAUGUUGCGCUGCAGGCCAUAAAACACCGGGGAAGUUGCGUUCAAGAGGCUUGUUACCCAGUUUGGAGUGUCCGAAGCAGAAGAUGCAGCCGUCCGCUCCGUUCACCACUGACUGGAUGACCUCAGCCACCGUUCCUGCACACACCUCCGCCUGGCAACAGGCGACCGCGGAAAGAUGAUGAGGAAACACACAAAGCAAAGAUUAUAUACUGAGAUGGUAACAUUCAAAUUAUGAGUCUAUUCACCUUUACGCCAAACUAAUCACUCAAAGUACUCAUUUUUGCAUUUUUUUAGCAACUUGGGAAGCCAUAUUUGUUCCUGUGGAAAAUACUCACUACUUGAAAUUUUUCAUGUUUUCACCUUCCAGGUGAAAGGAGAAGGAUAUAAGGUUUUCAUUUUUUUUUAUUUUUUUUUUUUAUUACAAAUAAACAUUUGUAAAUAUGUAAUGGUCAACAUCGUCGAAGCUUCUAUGCACCACAAAUCUGGAACAAACAAAGCCGAAACACGGAUUUCCUUUAAAUCUAAACUAAAACUAGAUUUAAAGUUUUAAAUCUAGUUUAAAACAUUAUAAAUGAAACAAUCAACGUUCUGAUGUGUAACGACGGCAUUUGAUAAUUGUUGACUGUGUUCUACAACUUUGUACUUUUGUGUUUUUAUGAUGUAAAACUCUUUCAACUGCCUUGUUGCUGAAAUAUGCUAUUCAAAUAAACUUGAUUUAUUGACUGA